rnacentral:rRNA from 1 species
UGGAGUCGUCCUUGAAAUACCACCCUUGUAGUUUUGAUGUUCUAACGUUGGCCCCUGAAUCGGGGUUACGGACAGUGCCUGGUGGGUAGUUUGACUGGGGCGGUCUCCUCCCAAAGAGUAACGGAGGAGCACGAAGGUUGGCUAAGUACGGUCGGACAUCGUACGGUUAGUGUAAUGGUAGAAGCCAGCUUAACUGCGAGACAGACACGUCGAGCAGGUACGAAAGUAGGUCAUAGUGAUCCGGUGGUUCUGAAUGGAAGGGCCAUCGCUCAACGGAUAAAAGGUACUCCGGGGAUAACAGGCUGAUACCGCCCAAGAGUUCAUAUCGACGGCGGUGUUUGGCACCUCGAUGUCGGCUCAUCACAUCCUGGGGCUGAAGUCGGUCCCAAGGGUAUGGCUGUUCGCCAUUUAAAGUGGUACGCGAGCUGGGUUUAGAACGUCGUGAGACAGUUCGGUCCCUAUCUGCCGUGGGCGUUUGAGAAUUGAGAGGGGUUGCUCCUAGUACGAGAGGACCGGAGUGAACGAACCGCUGGUGUUCGGGUUGUCAUGCCAAUGGCAUUGCCCGGUAGCUACGUUCGGAACUGAUAAGCGCUGAAAGCAUCUAAGCGCGAAGCAGGCCUCGAGAUGAGUUCUCACUAGAGCUAUAAGCUCUCUGAAGGGCCGUUGGAGACUACAACGUUGAUAGGCAAGGUGUGGAAGCAUAGUGAUAUGUUAAGCUAACUUGUACUAAUUACCCGUGAGGCUUAACCAUACAACGCCAAACGCGUUU